rnacentral:tRNA from 1 species
AAUAAAAUGGCUGAAUUAGGCGGUAAAUUGUAAAUUUAUUUAUGAAAAAAUUUUUUCUUUUAUUA